rnacentral:lncRNA from 1 species
AUUUCACUUCUUAGGGUCAUACAAUUAACUAUAUUCCGAACCACUAAAAUACUAAGAAACACUACAAUGCUUCCUCCCAAUAACAAUACUCCUUCAUCAACUGAUAACCACAAUGUGCAACCCUACACUCUCAAAAGAUUGCUCAAAAUUCAAUAAAUUCUAUCCAAUACGAGGAAUAACAGACUUCACUCCAAUCAAUCUGAAUUCAUAGAAUUCCUGUAAUCACAGACUUCCUGUGUCGAAAUACAUACACACAACUCUCAAUAAACAACAAUCAUAAUCUUCCAUCCAUAAUCAAUCUUUCAAUAACUUCUCAUAUAAUUUAAUCACUCAGUACUCCAAUUACAUAAUCAAUAACUCAUAAAUCAAUCUCAAAUUUAUUCCACAGACUCACUUCUCAGUAUUCAGAAUCUAUUCACUAUUCUUCAACAACAAAGAAAACAAAAGAAACAAAGAGGAAGCACCAAGCUUAACCCCAGCUCAUGACUAUCACAGUCUGGCCCUUUCUUCCUCUCUUCCAUCCUCCU